AACGAACGCUGGCGGCAGGCCUAACACAUGCAAGUCGAGCGAACCCUUCGGGGUUAGCGGCGGACGGGUUAGUAACGCGUGGGAAUAUACCCUUUGGUACGGAAUAGCCUCGGGGAAACUGAGAGUAAUACCGUAUGUGCCCCUCGGGGGAAAGAUUUAUCGCCAAAGGAUUAGCCCGCGUUGGAUUAGAUAGUUGGUGGGGUAAUGGCCUACCAAGUCUACGAUCCAUAGCUGGUUUGAGAGGAUGAUCAGCAACACUGGGACUGAGACACGGCCCAGACUCCUACGGGAGGCAGCAGUGGGGAAUCUUAGACAAUGGGCGCAAGCCUGAUCUAGCCAUGCCGCGUGGACGAUGAAGGCCUUAGGGUUGUAAAGUCCUUUCAGAUGGGAAGAUAAUGACGGUACCAUCAGAAGAAGACCCCGGCUAACUCCGUGC
rnacentral:rRNA from 1 species